rnacentral:rRNA from 1 species
AUUCAUGACUGGGGUGAAGUCGUAACAAGGUAACCGUAGGGGAACCUGCGGUUGGAUCACCUCCUUACCUGAAAGAA